UACGGGGGGGGCAAGCGUUGUUCGGAAUUACUGGGCGUAAAGGGCUCGUAGGCGGCCCGGUAAGUCCGCUGUGAAAGUCAAAGGCUCAACCUUUGAAUGUCAGCGGAUACUGCCGGGCUAGAGUCCGGAAGAGGCGAGUGGAACUCCUGGUGUAGCGGUGGAAUGCGCAGAUAUCAGGAAGAACACCAACGGCGAAGGCAGCUCGCUGGGACGGAACUGACGCUGAGGCGCGAAAGCGUGGGGAGCGAACAGG
rnacentral:rRNA from 1 species